rnacentral:rRNA from 1 species
GGAUAACCUACCCUUAGGACUGGGAUAACCCCGGGAAACUGGGGAUAAUACCGGAUAGGCAAUUCUUCCUGUAAUGGUUUUUUGUUUAAAUGUUUUUUCGCCUAAGGAUGAGUCUGCGGCCGAUUAGGUAGUUGGUUAGGUAAUGGCUUACCAAGCCGUUGAUCGGUACGGGUUGUGAGAGCAAGAGCCCGGAGAUGGAACCUGAGACAAGGUUCCAGGCCCUACGGGGUGCAGCAGGCGCGAAACCUCCGCAAUGUGAGAAAUCGCGACGGGGGGAUCCCAAGUGCCAUUCUUAACGGGAUGGCUUUUCAUUAGUGUAAAGAGCUUUUGGAAUAAGAGCUGGGCAAGACCGGUGCCAGCCGCCGCGGUAACACCGGCAGCUCUAGUGGUAGCAGUUUUUAUUGGGCCUAAAGCGUCCGUAGCCGGUUUAAUAAGUCUCUGGUGAAAUCCUGUAGCUUAACUGUGGGAAUUGCUGGAGAUACUAUUAGACUUGAGACCGGGAGAGGUUAGAGGUACUCCCAGGGUAGAGGUGAAAUUCUGUAAUCCUGGGAGGACCGCCUGUUGCGAAGGCGUCUAACUGGAACGGUUCUGACGGUGAGGGACGAAAGUUAGGGGCGCGAACCGGAUUAGAUACCCGGGUAGUCCUAACCGUAAACGAUGCGGACUUGGUGUUGGGGUGGCUUUGAGCUGCUUC